UCCCGUCUUUUAAUGCUACAAAGUACAAACCUACUUAGAAACCCUAGCGACUUCACUACCAAAUCCCAAUUCCCAGAGCCUCCGCAUUCCUUCAAACUCCGUUUACUCAUUCGUCUGCGAAAAGUGCGAGAUGUCGUCGAAGGUUAUAGUGCCAGUCAAAUAGAAACGGUCGUACAACUUCACUGAUGGCAGCGAUAAGAAGAUCAACAAGAACAAGCUCCUCUAUUUAACUCGAGCUAUAUUCUGUACAAAAAAUCUCCAUCUCCUCAUACACCCAUGAUUCAAGCCGCGGUAUAGUCGGAUGGGCUUCGAAGGCAUUUUCUACGGCUGUAUUUUUGCUGUAUGAGCAUGUUGCGGAACGUUUGAAACCUCAACUUUUCAAUUAUCUUUCGGUUUCUCUAUUUCUAUUGCUGACAUUGCCCGUAUACUCGUUCCUGUGCUUUCACUUUAAUUCCUAGCUUCUAAGGAAACUUGGUUUGUUAGUACU